AGUGGCGCACGGGUGAGUAACACGUGACUAACCUACCCUUGAGUGGGGGAUAACUUCGGGAAACCGAGGCUAAUACCGCAUAAUACCUACGGGUCAAAGGAGCAAUUCGCUUAAGGAGGGGGUCGCGGCAGAUUAGUUAGUUGGCGGAGUAAUGGCCCACCAAGACAAUGAUCUGUAUCCGGCCUGAGAGGGCGCACGGACACACUGGAACUGAAACACGGUCCAGACUCCUACGGGAGGUAGCAGUGGGGAAUUUUGCGCAAUGGGGGAAACCCUGACGCAGCAACGCCGCGUGGAGGAUGAAGUCCUUAGGGACGUAAACUCCUUUCGAUCGGGACGAUUAUGACGGUACCGAGAGAAGAAGCCCCGGCUAACUUCGUGCCAGCAGCCGCGGUAAUACGAGGGGGGCGAGCGUUGUUCGGAAUUAUUGGGCGUAAAGGGUGCGUAGGCGGUUUGGUAAGUCUGAUGUGAAAUCUAUGGGCUCAACUCAUAGUCUGCAUCGGA
rnacentral:rRNA from 1 species